GACGAACACAAAACAAUUAAAAGAGAAAAUGCCAGCCAAGUUGCUUUCUGCCAUUACCCCUUCAGUUCUCUGUGGUGCUUGUGAGGCAGAGCUUUCCUAUGGACAGGUUAUCCAUAACACCUGGAAAAUGUGAACUGCACAGGACAAAAGGAUAAUUUCUGUCCUUUUUGGCUCUUAGAUUACUAGCCAAUUGGAUGUUAUUAAGUCUCACAGGAGAGUUCACUGCUUCUGCCCUGGGCCUGCUCUCAGCUUCACUAGGACUCUAUCUAAUGCAUCCCUUCUUUGGGGUAAAAAUUUCCUGUUGUUUAAAAUGAAUGAAUUGAACCUAACUGUUUCUGAUACUCUGUACUUUAUGUCCUUCCCUG
rnacentral:lncRNA from 1 species